rnacentral:rRNA from 1 species
GCUGUGCUCAAUCGCCGGUUAGCGUUGUUUAGCCGCCGCAGCAGCUUUAACGAUCACGGCAAACGCAUCGGCUUUCAGCGACGCGCCGCCAACCAGGGCACCGUCGAUGUCCGGCUGAGUAAACAGCUCGGCAGCGUUUUUAUCGUUAACUGAGCCGCCGUACUGAAUAAUCACUUGCUCAGCGAUAGCCGCAUCUUUUUUGGCAAUGUGGUCACGAAUAAAUUUGUGAACGGCCUGCGCCUGAGCAGGUGUGGCUGACUUCCCGGUACCGAUCGCCCAUACCGGCUCGUAAGCGAUGACCGCGUCUUUAAACGCUUCUGCACCCUGCGUGGUCAGCACCGCAUCAAGCUGGCGUGCACAGACUUCUUCGGUUUUGCCCGCUUCGUUUUCCGCAUAAGCCAGCUUGACUGCGAGAGUGACGGCUCGAGCAGGUGCGAAAGCAGGUCAUAGUGAUCCGGUGGUUCUGAAUGGAAGGGCCAUCGCUCAACGGAUAAAAGGUACUCCGGGGAUAACAGGCUGAUACCGCCCAAGAGUUCAUAUCGACGGCGGUGUUUGGCACCUCGAUGUCGGCUCAUCACAUCCUGGGGCUGAAGUAGGUCCCAAGGGUACGGCUGUUCGCCGUUUAAAGUGGUACGCGAGCUGGGUUUAGAACGUCGUGAGACAGUUCGGUCCCUAUCUGCCGUGGGCGCUGGAGAAUUGAGGGGGGUUGCUCCUAGUACGAGAGGACCGGAGUGAACGCACCGCUGGUGUCCGGGUUGUCACGCCAGUGGCACUGCCCGGUAGCUAAGUGCGGAAAAGAUAAGUGCUGAAAGCAUCUAAGCACGAAACUUGCCCCGAGAUGAGUUCUCCCUGAGCCUUUAAGGCUCCUGAAGGGACGUUGAAGACGACGACGUUGAUAGGCCGGGUGUGUAAGCGCAGCGAUGCGUUGAGCUUACCGGUACUAAUGACCCGUGAGGCUUAACCUU